UACGUAGGUGGCAAGCGUUGUCCGGAUUUACUGGGCGUAAAGAGCGCGCAGGCGGUCGUUCAAGUCGCGUGUGAAAGCCCCCGGCUCAACUGGGGAGGGUCACGCGAUACUGAUCGACUCGAAGGCAGGAGAGGGAAGUGGAAUUCCCGGUGUAGUGGUGAAAUGCGUAGAUAUCGGGAGGAACAUCAGUGGCGAAGGCGGCCUUCUGGUCCAGUACUGACACUCAAGUGCGAAAGCGUGGGGAGCAAACAGG
rnacentral:rRNA from 1 species